GGUUUGGCACCUCGAUGUCGGCUCAUCGCAUCCUGGGGCUGGAGGAGGUCCCAAGGGUUUGGCUGUUCGCCAAUUAAAGCGGUACGUGAGCUGGGUUUAGAACGUCGUGAGACAGUUCGGUCCCUAUCCACUGUGGGCGUAGGAGAUUUGAGGGAAGCUGCCCUUUGUACGAGAGGACCGGGGUGGACGAACCUCUAGUGCACCAGUUGUCGCGCCAGCGGCAUAGCUGGGUAGCUAUGUUCGGCAGGGAUAACCGCUGAAAGCAUCUAAGCGGGAAGCCCCUCCCAAGAUUAGAUCUCCCGUGGCUUAAGCCACCUGAAGGCUCCUUGGAGACUACAAGGUUGAUAGGCCGGAGGUGUAAGCAUGGCAACAUGUUCAGCCGACCGGUACUAAUAAGCCGUGAGGCUUAACCAGUAUU
rnacentral:rRNA from 1 species